rnacentral:rRNA from 1 species
GCCUGUCUCAGUUCGGAUUGGAGUCUGCAACUCGACUCCAUGGAGCUGGAUUCGCUAGUAAUCGCGCAUCAGCCAUGGCGCGGUGAAUACGUUCCCGGGCCUUGUACACACCGCCCGUCAAGCCAUGGGAGCCGGGGUGCCCGAAGUACGUGACCGCGAGGAGCGUCCUAGGGCAAAACUGGUGACUGGGGCUAAGUCGUAACAAGGUAAC